GCCCCCCCGCUUCCGGAUACAGCAGACCUCGCGACAAGUGGAGCUGUCGCGAGAGGAUGCCAGCGGUCUUCCUCGUCCUAUCCGGGCGGGGCGGGGAAGACGAAAAGCUCUUGGUGAGGCUGGGCCUUUCUGGGGACGAUGCCGUCCGCAUUCUCAGUGAGCUCGUUCCCCGUCAGCAUCCCCGCCGUGAUCAUGCAGACAGACUGGACGGAGCCGUGGCUGGUCGGGCUGGUCAUCUUCCACGUACUCUGCCUGCUGCUCACCUGCUUCUCAUCCCGGAGGUAUAAGCUACAGGUCGGGCACUUCCUGUGUCUGGUGACGCUGGUCUACUGCGCCGAGUACAUCAAUGAGGUUGCGGCCAUGAACUGGAGGUCCUUCUCAAAGUACCAGUAUUUCGACUCGAGGGGGAUGUUCGUGUCCCUGGUCUUCUCGGCACCGCUGCUGCUCAACGCCCUGGCCAUCGUGAUCCUGUGGGUGCGCAAGACGCUGGCGGUGAUGAGCGACCUGAGGACCUUACAGCAGCGCCGGGGGCGGCCGAAGCAGCAGUGACGGCUCUGCCCCCGGCUGGCGCCUGGGCAUCCAGACCCGCCCCGCGUCCCGAGACGCUUGGGCUGGCUUUGAAGGGCGCUCGCCCGGCCUGGGUCCACCCAGAAGGUCUGAGUCUCCCUAGUUAAACUGUAAAUGGAGCCCCUGCAGUCAAGCCUGAGCUCGGGACACCCUGUCUAUCACUCCCCCAUCACCCCUGUCACCCCCAUGCUCCCCGUCAGCCCCCUGUCACGGUCACCCCUGUCACCCCUGUCACUGCCAUCACCCUGGUCUGGCCUUCGUGGCGACGGCCUCUCCAGGCAGGGCUGCCGCUGGACAGGGCAGGAGGGGCCGCCUGGCCUCUGUGCAGUUGGAGGCGUCACGGCGCCGGCGGAGGCCGGAGUCGGGAUCUUCAGAGGCGGCAGCCGCGCGAGCCCCUUGAGUUGUGCUUCAGGAAGGAACGUCGCCAUUAAAACAGUCAGCAGCUGCCUGGUUCAACUAAGAGGUUUUAUGGCAAAUACCGAGACGGGUUCUGUCCCUUGGUUCCUGCCUCUUACAUUCUGCUCGGGGACAUGCCACCGCCUCUUCUGUUGGAGCAGGUGCACUGAUUCGGUGUCACGGCCGCGCUGCGGACUAGACCUGCAGCUGGAGGGUGGGGGCCGCAUGUCUAAACUCAGCGUUUGAGAAAGAGGAGGCGGUUGGCUCCUGAUGGGGUUUGAAAAAAUAGCUUGCGAGCCUUCCUGCUGUGACUCAAAGGGAUCAGCGGCAUCUCUGCAGCGCUGGGCGCGGGUUUGAUCCCUGGCCGGGUGCAGUGGGUUAAGGCUCUGACAGGGCUGCAGCUGCAGUGUAAGUCACGCUGGGACGUGGCUCUGAUCCUGGCCCAGGAAAGCCAUGUGCCAUGGGGUGGCCUGAAAAAAAGAGAGGAAGUAGUUUAUGAAUAGUUGUCUUAAUUUUAAGAAGAUGUUUUCCCUUAAAUGAAGUAUAUUUUUCAAAUUUCAAAAGAAAAAAAAUUGGUCACGUGAAAGCAUUAUAUUUAGUGGUUCAGAGGGUAACACUGCUGGAUGAUGGGAUUAAAUCUUGAAAUCCAGACGUAAAGACAGCUGUAAACUCUUAGCAGAGAAAUUAUUUCCUUAAUUUUGACGUUGGUUUUAGAACCGAGUCGAUAGAACUUCCUAGAUCAAUCUCUUGGAGCUUUUAACCUCACAUCCUUUCUUGAUGUGAACGUCUGUACUGAACAUUGAAAAAAUUGACUCAGCAACAGCAUGUCACGUGAAAUCCAGUUUUAGAUGUCUUGCACCUGAUGACAUCCUGAGGGUGCGUUGCUGAAAGUGACCAGUUCAGGGUGUUCCUUGGUGUCCUGGCUUCAGAAGAGUCGCCUGCAUCUGAGCAGCUCCCGGGAGCCCACAGCGGCAGGGGCUGCGGGCGGGGUCGAGUGUCCCCUCCAGCGCCGGCCUGGGGCCAGGGGACAGAAGUGCCCGUGGCAACGUCCUGCCCUUGCCCUCGGCCCCUCGGAGCCCAGGGAGUGCAGGCAUUUCCACCGUCUGGAGCCACUCCUGUCAGCGCGAGACUGUGACUGGCUCUCAGCUGUCCUGUGAAGACCGGGUAAUGACAUCGUCAUUGGCCUGGAUGUGGGGUCAGACGUCCUGUCGAAAAACACGACGUAGGGCCUUUUCGUUCACUGGUGUGUGUAAGUUUUGGGGAAUCGUUGUGUUUUAUUUUCACAAACACAACCUGUUUUUAAAACUUUUAGUAGGUUUCUCUCCAGUGGCUUAAAGGGCAGUGUUUACGAACACCAGGCGGUCCUCAUGCUUGGGACACACUCCAAGCCGUCGCUGUCCCAGCACUUCAGGUCACCUCAAGUGUGGGGACUGUGGCCCUUUCGGGGCAUCGGGGUGCUGCUGGGGCUUGGGGCCUCCAGGCGGGUGGAAGGGCAGCCUGUGUCUGUCAUCUGCGGACGAGGAGACGAGAGACACGCGUGGUCAAGGAGCAUUUAGCCCAUUCCAGACCUGCGACCUUCAGUUUGUCAGUUGCUGUGUAAUAAAGUCUUAUUUUAUUUCAA
rnacentral:lncRNA from 1 species